UACGUAGGGUGCAAGCGUUAAUCGGAAUUACUGGGCGUAAAGCGUGCGCAGGCGGUUCGGAAAGAAAGAUGUGAAAUCCCAGGGCUUAACCUUGGAACUGCAUUUUUAACUGCCGGGCUAGAGUAUGUCAGAGGGGGGUAGAAUUCCACGUGUAGCAGUGAAAUGCGUAGAGAUCUGGAGGAACACCGAUGGCGAAGGCAGCCUCCUGGGCUAGUACUGACGCUCAUGCACGAAAGCGUGGGGAGCAAACAGG
rnacentral:rRNA from 1 species